CAGCCGCCGCGGUAAUUCGAAGGGUGCAAGCGUUAAUCGGAAUUACUGGGCGUAAAGCGUGCGUAGGCGGUUUGUUAAGUCUGUUGUGAAAUCCCCGGGCUCAACCUGGGAAUGGCAAUGGAUACUGGCAAGCUAGAGUGUGUCAGAGGAUGGUGGAAUUCCCGGUGUAGCGGUGAGAUGCGUAGAGAUCGGGAGGAACAUCAGUGGCGAAGGCGGCCAUCUGGGACAACACUGACGCUGAGGCACGAAAGCGUGGGGAGCAAACAGGAUUAGAUACCCCAGUAGUCCCUGUCUCUUAUAC
rnacentral:rRNA from 1 species